rnacentral:rRNA from 1 species
GAUGAACGCUGGCGGCGUGCCUAAUACAUGCAAGUCGAGCGAACAGAUGAGGAGCUUGCUCCUCUGACGUUAGCGGCGGACGGGUGAGUAACACGUGGAUAACCUACCUAUAAGACUGGGAUAACUUCGGGAAACCGGAGCUAAUACCGGAUAAUAUAUUGAACCGCAUGGUUCAAUAGUGAAAGACGGUUUUGCUGUCACUUAUAGAUGGAUCCGCGCCGCAUUAGCUAGUUGGUAAGGUAACGGCUUACCAAGGUAACGAUGCGUAGCCGACCUGAGAGGGUGAUCGGCCACACUGGAACUGAGACACGGUCCAGACUCCUACGGGAGGCAGCAGUAGGGAAUCUUCCGCAAUGGGCGAAAGCCUGACGGAGCAACGCCGCGUGAGUGAUGAAGGUCUUCGGAUCGUAAAACUCUGUUAUUAGGGAAGAACAAAUGUGUAAGUAACUAUGCACGUCUUGACGGUACCUAAGCAGAAAGCCACGGCUAACUACGU